UUCCGAUGUUCAAUCUAUUUACUCAAUGCUUAUUUUAUUAUUUACUUUCAACAUGUGCCAAUAAGACCAGCAACAAGCGGCGAUUCUGAAAGAAAUGUUUCUACCGAGUUGUGUCCAACACCCAGAGCGCCGUUAAAUGGAGAUGUAUCCUGUGAAUAUUCUGAUGCAGUACAAAUCAACAUUUUCUGUACGGCCACAUGUAAACUUGGCUACAAGUUUAAUGGUAUAGAUGCCAAGGACUUAGUGUAUAUUUGUGAUGUGACAACUGGCUUCUACGACGACGUAAAUAUACCUAAUUGCAUCCCGAUAGCACGGCCUACGUUGGUGCCGCCACUGGGAUAAGGGAGAGAUGAACACACAGAGAUACAAUGAGGCGCCUCAAGCUGAAACAUGUCAACAUAAAUCUUCAAUUUCUUUGAUAAUAAUUAUAAAUCUUUUAAAGUCUUAGACUUAUUCAAACAUGCAUAAGUAAGCAUUAUUUCGAUU